UAGAGGCGCAUCAGAGUCGGUGGAGAGAGAAGGCCAGAAUCUUCAAAUCCUUGCUCCAUCCGUCUCCGUCCUUCGCCCUCACCACUGUCGCUCAUCUCGUCGCCGGUGACUUUGAGAAUGCUGGAAUCCCCACAGUGGGUAGCGUAAUGAUUACCUCGUCCAGCUCUUCCCUGGUCUGCAUCAUUCUCCCUUCUCUGUCAUCUGUGAAUGUGUAAGUGUUCCAGCCUUCCUCUCCCUUCUCUUUCGUCUCUCUUCAUUCGCUGCUGGUGACUAGAGGAAAACGGUAAUCCAGCCUCCUCCUUCGAUGGUGCUGUGACGUGCGAGCAUUGAGCUUCUCCUUCCCCUAUUUUUCACCGUGAAUUUCUCUUCCUCCUCCCUCUGUUCGAGCUGCUAUGGCUUAAGACAGCAGGGAAUUAAGAAGCGGACAAUGUUACAAAAGCAAACUGAGUAGGAGUAAUUUACGCACUCAGGAAUAUAUCAAACCCAUUAAACUUGGCACACUAUGGUACAUCUAGCUAGCAAAGUGUUUAUUGGAGGUACUGGACCUGUACGAAGGCCAACAUAUGUGGAAUGGAGGGAUGGUACUUCAUGAGCACUGUACUCACACUUGUUUUCAUAGGCCUUGUGCCUAUGCAUAUUUCGUGGCUUUUUGUUGCAUUUGUUUCGUGGCCUUCUGCUGCUUACUUACCCUCGUGAACUAUAUCAAUGCUUGUUAGUUAUUUAUUCUUGUGGACUAUGUGUUUAAGUUUAUAAAUUGUUCUAA